rnacentral:rRNA from 1 species
GAUGAACGCUGGCGGCGUGCUUAACACAUGCAGGUCGAACGGAAAGGCUCCUGCUUGCAGGGGUACUCGAGUGGCGAACGGGUGAGUAACACGUGGGUGAUCUGCCCUGCACUUCGGGAUAAGCCUGGGAAACUGGGUCUAAUACCGGAUAGGACGAUGGUUUGGAUGCCAUUGUGGAAAGUUUUUUCGGUGUGGGAUGAGCUCGCGGCCUAUCAGCUUGUUGGUGGGGUAAUGGCCUACCAAGGCGUCGACGGGUAGCCGGCCUGAGAGGGUGUACGGCCACAUUGGGACUGAGAUACGGCCCAGACUCCUACGGGAGGCAGCAGUGGGGAAUAUUGCACAAUGGGCGCAAGCCUGAUGCAGCGACGCCGCGUGGGGGAUGACGGCCUUCGGGUUGUAAACUCCUUUCGCUAGGGACGAAGCGCAAGUGACGGUACCUGGAGAAGAAGCACCGGCUAACUACGUG